CAGGAGCGACUUUCCGCUGCUCGGCGGGAAAACGGAACAGCGGCGGACAGCUGCCGCGCGUCGCGUGCCCUCGCCCUUUCGCGAGAGACUGAGGGCACGUUUCACCCACGAGCUUCGAAUGUCACCGCGAUGUCACGGGAAAAACCUCCUAGCUUAUAUCCUAGCGUCUUUAGCCGCGCGGCCUGAUGAGGAACCAGUUCGCGCCCACGCAGCUGUGUGCUUGCUACGAUGACGUCAGAACAACGCGCCGCUAAUUAGCUUGCUUUUCGCUUACCUUGUCAUAAUAGUCUCAUAAUUAAAGGAGGCCAUUGAAUCUAAAUAUAGAGCGCUAAUAGAGCUGUGUGUAGUUAAAGGCAAUCAUUUAACACUGCUUUUCAUUUCCAUUAGACUGAGAGGAGGAGGGACUGCGAGAAGCUUAUUUGUCCUUUACUUGAGGGACCAACGUGUAAUAGUCUCACACGGAUUUGAGACAGAGUUCAUUUACAUUCUAGCGACUUAUUGAACAGAAAGUAGCCUAAUGCAUUUAAUUCAAAAGUAGGAAAAGUGUGGAUGUGUGAAUUACUCAUCUAUAGGUUAAGAUGGAACGUCACCAGAAUAAAUGACUAAAUGUCAGUUCACGUCUCCAUAAAGUGUUUCUCCCCCAGAAGUGUUUGAUGCGCUGGUGCCAGAAAUAAAUAACACUUUGCAGACGAUGGAUUCUUAAUCACAGCUUCCAACCAAGACACAGGUUCGUCUCACUUUUUAUAAAAUGUCUUCGGUGCUUAAUUCAACCAAGAACAAGAUGUACAAGUCGUGGAGCCGAGAAAAGCUUUACCGCUCCUCUCUCUGAAUGGGCCACUGUUAAUACCCCCUGACAAACCCGCGGCCAGUUGACCAUCUGCCUCCUUUCUCAGCAUUCCCAGGGAGUCAGCGAGCAGAAAACAAUGUAAUGAUGCCAAUUCCCAUCAUUAGUUGGUGAAGUGAUCACCAGAACGCAAUCAAACGGGACGGGGAACAACGAGCAGGAAGCCGGGGCGGGUGCGUUGGACCCGCUGCAAACGUUGGAGGGCGGCUCGUCGGCACCAAUCAGAAGCAGAUGCAGGGCAAAGGAGCGAGCGCGACUUUCACAGCCGACUGGGCAGGAACGGAGCAAGUCAGCGGAACUUGGCCCCAUCAUGUGCUUCACAGCCGCGCGGUCUGAAGAAGCCGUCCGCCACAGCUCCUCCUGGCGGGAGCCACAACAAUCACAGCGCCCCGGCGCUGCUCACCUCAGCCACCCAGGUCUUCUGCAGCUCCCUCUGGGAGUCGGCCUGCUUGUAGUACAGCGUGAGGGUCUCUCUGCAGGUGGGCGACGGCGACCUGAGGCUGGCGCAGUCGCGCA